CGAACCCGCGCGGGAGAGCCGGAACGGCCUGCUCAGGCCGCGACCGGCGCCGAAGGAGCAAGUCCUCCCCGGAAUCUCUCAGGCACCCCUACCGCCCGGGCUAG
rnacentral:ncRNA from 2 species